UCCAGUAUGAAAACUAAUGCUCUCCUCGCUUUCUUUCUCCUCCUCCAAUUAUAGGUAAUACUAGACAGGACAGAUGAGAUUGAGGGGAAAAAGGUCAACAUGUGUUGGUUCAUCAGCAGCAUAACAGCACAAUGUGCCAGAACACUGACACCACACGGAUGAAGAGAGAGAGAGAGAGAGAGAGACAGUGAGAGACAGACUUCCCUUUCAGCCAAUGAGAAAACAGGACCCCUGCUGUCGGCAUGGUGACAGUUGCCAUGAGUGAUUGCAUCCGGACCUUCAGCUGAUGGUUCGAGGGUUCGACCUGUGUCUCUUUGGAGGUGAAGGGUGGAGAGGGCAGCACUGACUUCGAUCCC
ensembl:lncRNA